GACGAACGCUGGCGGCGUGCCUAAUACAUGCAAGUUGAGCGCUGAAGGUUGGUACUUGUACCAACUGGAUGAGCAGCGAACGGGUGAGUAACGCGUGGGGAAUCUGCCUUUGAGCGGGGGACAACAUUUGGAAACGAAUGCUAAUACCGCAUAAAAACUUUAAACACAAGUUUUAAGUUUGAAAGAUGCAAUUGCAUCACUCAAAGAUGAUCCCGCGUUGUAUUAGCUAGUUGGUGAGGUAAAGGCUCACCAAGGCGAUGAUACAUAGCCGACCUGAGAGGGGGAUCGGCCACAUUGGGACUGAGACACGGCCCAAACUCCUACGGGAGGCAGAAGUAGGGAAUCUUCGGCAAUGGACGAAAGUCUGACCGAGCAACGCCGCGUGAGUGAAGAAGGUUUUCGGAUCGUAAAACUCUGUUGGUAGAGAAGAACGUUGGUGAGAGUGGAAAGCUCAGCAAGUGACGGUAACUACCCAGAAAGGGACGGCUAACUACGUG
rnacentral:rRNA from 1 species